CUUCGGAUAUCAAAUUAUUUACUAGAAAAAACAUUUUUAUGAAGGGAAAAUAAUAUAUGUGAGUUUAAAUAGGAGACAGGAUUCAAAGUUUCAUCAUUUCACUAAAUGCAUCUCCAUCUGAAUUGUCCGUGUGAUUUUUGUGAUAGAGAAGAGAAUGAGGAGCAAGCAAGAGUCGAUAUUCCUGUUAAACCCUGGCUGUCCUUCUCAUCCAUGGUGCUGCGUGUGGACAACAUACACCUGGGGCUCACCUGAGCCUGCUUGGGACGUGUGUCACUUGGAUAGUUCUGCAAGCGAUUCGCAUGCAAUAGGCAGUAAAUGCCGACGUCAUGAAUGAAUGAAGAGAAUACUACAAAGAGGAAACAGAAGGCACUUUUGUCCCCAUGUGUCAUUCUAACUGUGAGAGUGUGUGUGUGUGUCCUGAGGUGUGCGAGUGUGUGUGUGUGUGUCCUGAGGUGCGUGAGAGGUUGUAUGUUUGUCCUGAAGUGUGUGAGAGUUUAUAUAGGUUUCUGAGGUAUGUGAGGGGUUGUGUGUGUCCCUGAGGUGUAUGAGGUGUGUGUGGGUCCUGAGGUGUGUGAGUGGUUGUGUGUGGGUCCCUGAGGUGUGUGAGAGGUUGUGUGUGGGUCCUAAGGUGUGUGAGUGGUUGUGUGUGGGUCCUAAGGUGUGUGAGAGGUUGUGUGUGGGUCCUAAGGUGUGUGAGUGGUUGUGUGUGGGUCCUAAGGUGUGUGAGAGGUUGUGUGAGUCCUGAGGUGUGUGAGAGGAUUGUGUGUGAGUCCUGAGGUGUGUGAGGGGUUAUGUAUGGGCCCCUGAGGUGUGUGAGGGGUUUUAUGUGUGUGGGUUCCUUAUAUGGGUUCCUGAGGUGUGUGAGGGGUUGUGUGUGUGUCCUGAGGUGUGUGAGGGGUUGUGCUUGGGUCCUGGGGUGUGUGAGUGGGUGUUUGUCCUGAGGUGUGUGAGAGGUUGUGUGUGUGUCCUGAGGUGUGUGAGAGUUUGCGUAGGUUCCUGAGGUAUGUGAGGGGUUGUGUGUGUCCUGAGGUGUGUGAGAGGUUGUGUGAGUCCCUGGGGUGUGUGAGAGUUUGUGUAGGUUUCUGAGGUGUGUGAGAGUUUGUGUAGCUUCCUGAGGUGUGUGAGAGGUUGUGUGAGUCCCUGAGGUGCGUGAGGGGUUGUGUGUGUCCUGAAGUGUGUGAGAGG
rnacentral:lncRNA from 1 species